rnacentral:sRNA from 1 species
UUUUUAUCAUAAUUGAACUGAAAUCAUAUAUACCUUUGCUUGUAACUAUUUCAACACAUAAGUAUUAAAGCAGGCUACUUAACUUUUAGCAAAAGCGGCGCCAGGAAAUUGAACAAAAACUUGAAGUUCAGGCAGAAGAAGAGAGAAAGCAGGUUGAAAAUGAAAGGAGAGAACUGUUUGAAGAGAGGCGUGCUAAACAGACAGAACUGCGGCUUUUGGAACAGAAAGUUGAGCUUGCGCAGCUGGUGAGUGGUAAUUUGGAGUUCUAAGAUUGGUAAUCCUUUGAGUUUACAAAAGCACUGACCUUUUACCUUUUCUUUAGCAAGAAGAAUGGAAUGAACAUAAUGCCAAAAUAAUUAAAUAUAUAAGAACUAAGACAAAGCCCCAUUUGUUUUAUAUUCCUGGAAGAAUGUGUCCAGCUACCCAAAAACUAAUAGAAGAGUCACAGAGAAAAAUGAACGCUUUAUUUGAAGGUAGACGCAUCGAAUUUGCAGAACAAAUAAAUAAAAUGGAGGCUAGGCCUAGAAGACAAUCAAUGAAGGAAAAAGAGCAUCAGGUGGUGCGUAAUGAAGAACAGAAGGCGGAACAAGAAGAGGGUAAGGUGGCUCAGCGAGAGGAAGAGUUGGAGGAGACAGGUAAUCAGCACAAUGAUGUAGAAAU